UUCUCUCGCUUUCAUUUAUAAAAAAGGGACCACGUAAUUUUUACAACAAUUAUCAUUACUAUAAAAACAUACAUUAAUUUUACAAGGAAAAUAGUCCAUGACAUUCACUAAUGGAUCACUUGGCUUGGGUCAACUUCUCACUGAAAUCCCACAGUUUCUUUGCUAGUUCUGGAUCUUGUGCAUAUUUGCUUGCUUUCUUCAAGUUGCUAUCCGCAAAAUACUCCCCACUAACGCCCUUAAGUUGUGGGUGCAUCGCUACAUAGCAUGU
rnacentral:lncRNA from 1 species